GGGGAUGUAGCUCAGGGGUAGAGAAUUUGACUGCAGAUCAAGAGUUCCCUGGUUCAAAUCCAGGUGCCCCCU
rfam:Ictidomys tridecemlineatus contig045224, whole genome shotgun sequence.